UGCGCCGCCACGGGAGGUACGGGUUUUAGCCGUUCGUAGAGACGGCUGAACGGAUAAUAGCCCUACAUAAAAUCGUCUUGAACCAGUUAGCAAUUACUAAGAAGCGUAGAAAGAGGAAGCAACAAUUUUUAGAGAAAGUGAUUUGAUAUUUAGUGAUUUUAUAUAGCUAAUUUUACGGACAUUUGUGGAUAUCAUAGGACACAAAACUUAAUCUGGAAAGUACCAGGUCACAGUUUUAUUCGUCGGCUGCAUGAAGACUUUAAACAAAAUUCAUAUCCCGCAAACUACGAUUUGGAAGAGUGUUCCGUGGUCCACUUUGGUAUAGGUGGCUUUAGAGUAUGUGAUGGUGAUGCAGUUACGUAUUUCAGCUCAAAAUUUGGGGAUUUUCUGAGACAAGUUGAGCCAAACAUCGUACUUCUUCAAUUAGGAGGUAACGACGUCGAUUCAGUAAAAUCUUCUCUGGACAUUGCCAAUAGAAUUGAAGAAAUUACAGCUCUAAUUAUUCAGGAGUAUGCUGUAGAGAAAGUUGUAGUGUGCGAAAUAUUCACCUGUGCUCGACCAACGAAAGUUACGUCAGAUUUAUUUGAACACAAACGCUUGCAUUCAGUAUCAAUCCUGCAAACUCUUUUGGAUAUGCAUGAUAAAGCAAGAUUCUGGAAGCACAGAAGGCUGUUUUACUCACAGACUCCCAUAUUCCGGAAAGAUGGAAUCCACCUUAACCACAAUGGACAGCGACGCUUUUACAGGUCCUUGAGACAUGCCAUCAUGUCAGCUGUUAGAUCGGUAAUCAAGGAUCGGUCGUAGGGGAGUAUUGUUAAUUUUUAUUUUUUUUGGUAUAUUAGUUCAUCAUAAAACCUGUCUGUUGAUAAGAAGUGUGGAAGGGAAUAAAGCCAGUAUAAAUAAUAUGAUAUCAUAGAAUAGAAUAUUAUAGCUUGUAGAGUCACUAUAUUCAUAAUAUUAUUUAUGUUAUCAUGAAGAUAAUAAUUACGGUAUAGUCUUUACAGAGACAAUUAACUUAAUUAUUGUUGUCUGAGAGCCAUUGGGCUAUAGCAGAAAUUUUAUAAAUUU